CUCUAAUAGGCUUUUUUCCUCUUGUGACAUUUUCCUCUCUCUGUGUCCUGUCCUGGUUUUCCAAUUGCACAUAUGUAACUGCUGGACAUGGUCCUGAGUGCAGAGCUGGGGAGCAAAGGAGUAUUCACAGCCAGCUCAGAAUAUGAGGAAUGGCAAACAGCAUUGGAUCCUAGCAGACAGUGAAUCGUCUUUGCAGUUUCUUGACUGCGGAUGUCCCAGCCCGAGACUUUCAGAAACCCCAUUCCUGCAUCAGGGAAGUCUCCUGUCCUUUAAUGGGGUGCUUGUAUCUACACAAGAAAAGAGCCUGUCACUAGAAAGGGCCUUCAUCACCUCCUGCCUGGAAGGGCUUGGUGGCCUCCCACCGCUUUAAGCACCUCGUUCCGUCCUGCUUCACCCACUCGG
rnacentral:lncRNA from 1 species